GUAAAGCGUGCGUAGGCGGCUAUGCAAGUCAGAUGUGAAAGCCCCAGGCUCAACCUGGGAAUUGCGUUUGAAACUGUGUGGCUAGAGUUCGACAGAGGAAGAUAGAAUUCCAUGUGUAGCGGUGAAAUGCGUAGAUAUAUGGAAGAAUACUAAUGGCGAAGGCAUUCUUCUGGGUCGACACUGACGCUGAGUCACUAAAGCGUGGGGAGCAAACAGGAUUAGAUACCCUGGUAGUCCACGCCCUAAACGAUGUCCGCUAGCUAUCGGGGUUUAGCCUCGGUGGCGAAGCUAACGCGUUAAGCGGACCGCCUGGGGAGUACGAUCGCAAGAUUAAAACUCAAAGGAAUUGACGGGGACCCGCACAAGCGGUGGAUGAUGUGGUUUAAUUCGAUGCAACGCGAAAAACCUUACCUACCCUUGACAUGUCCGGAAUCCUGUAGAGAUACAGGAGUGCCUUCGGGAACCCGAACACAGGUGUUGCAUGGCUGCGUCAGCUCGUGUCGUGAGAUGUUGGGUUAAGUUCCGCAACGAGCGCAACCCUUGUCGUUAGUUGCCAGCAUUAAGUUGGGUACUUUA
rnacentral:rRNA from 1 species